ACGCACGCUGGCGGCGUGCCUAAUACAUGCAAGUCGAGCGGACGGAUGGGAGCUUGCUCCCAGACCGUCAGCGGCGGACGGGUGAGUAACACGUGGGCAACCUGCCUGUAAGACUGGGAUAACUCCGGGAAACCGGGGCUAAUACCGGAUAACUCUUUCCCUCACAUGAGGGAAAGCUGAAAGAUGGCAUCUCGCUAUCACUUACAGAUGGGCCCGCGGCGCAUUAGCUAGUUGGUGAGGUAACGGCUCACCAAGGCGACGAUGCGUAGCCGACCUGAGAGGGUGAUCGGCCACACUGGGACUGAGACACGGCCCAGACUCCUACGGGAGGCAGCAGUAGGGAAUCUUCCGCAAUGGACGAAAGUCUGACGGAGCAACGCCGCGUGAGUGAUGAAGGUUUUCGGAUCGUAAAACUCUGUUGUCAGGGAAGAACAAGUACCGGAGUAACUGCCGGUACCUUGACGGUACCUGACCAGAAAGCCACGGCUAACUACGUG
rnacentral:rRNA from 1 species